UAGGGAAUCUUCGGCAAUGGACGGAAGUCUGACCGAGCAACGCCGCGUGAGUGAAGAAGGUUUUAGGAUCGUAAAGCUCUGUUGUUAGAGAAGAACGUUGGCAGGAGUGGAAAAUCUACCAAGUGACGGUAAAUAACCAGAAAGGGACGGCUAACUACGUGCCAGCAGCCGCGGUAAUACGUAGGUCCCGAGCGUUGUCCGGAUUUAUUGGGCGUAAAGCGAGCGCAGGCGGUUCUUUAUGUCUGAAGUUAAAGGCAGUGGCUUAACCAUUGUACGCUUUGGAAACUGGAUGACUUGAGUGCGGAAGGGGAGAGUGGAAUUCCAUGUGUAGCGGUGAAAUGCGUAGAUAUAUGGAGGAACCCCGGUGGCGAAAGCGGCUCUCUGGUCUAUUACUGACGCUGAUGCUCGAAAGCGUGGGGAGCAAACAGG
rnacentral:rRNA from 1 species